rnacentral:rRNA from 1 species
GACGAACGCUGGCGGCGUGCUUAACACAUGCAAGUCGAACGAUGAACUUGGAGCUUGCUCUGGGGGAUUAGUGGCGAACGGGUGAGUAACACGUGAGUAACCUGCCCUGGACUCUGGGAUAACUUCGAGAAAUCGGAGCUAAUACCGGAUAGGACCUUGCACCGCAUGGUGUGGGGUGGAAAGUUUUUCGGUUUGGGAUGGACUCGCGGCCUAUCAGCUUGUUGGUGAGGUAAUGGCCCACCAAGGCGUCGACGGGUAGCCGGCCUGAGAGGGUGACCGGCCACACUGGGACUGAGACACUGCCCAGACUCCUACGGGAGGCAGCAGUGGGGAAUAUUGCACAAUGGGCGCAAGCCUGAUGCAGCAACGCCGCGUGCGGGAUGACGGCCUUCGGGUUGUAAACCGCUUUUAGUAGGGAAGAAGCCUUCGGGUGACGGUACCUGCAGAAAAAGGACCGGCUAACUACGUGCCAGCCGCCGCAGUAAAAC